UAGUCUCUUCAGUAUAUCUGAGUGUGUGAAUGUGUGUGUGUGUGUGUGUGUGUGUGUGUAAGACCAUGCGAUGUUGUGCCUUUUGCCCUCUCCGGCCAAUCCCGAUGCUGGUCGUCAACGCGCAAGCGCCCGAUAUCCACCUGCUGGGCGGGGUUUCAAAAUUCUUAUGAUAGAAGCCGUGCCGCAGCUGACCGUCUCCAGCACAACGCAUUCGGUAUACUAAUGCAGGCUAUAGUCUUUACGAUGCACAGGGCUUCGAUGUCGCUCUUCCUUAUUGAUAUUACGAAAUCCCAUCUUUGACUCGGAGUUUUGUUGUUGCAAAAAAAUGUUGACCCUUCCCGUUAUUGACACAUUGGCCGCGAUAAGAGCAAAUAAGACCAGAACAAGACAGAUAACAAGGUGUUUCAUUUCGAUUGGCGAGUUGGUGUUAUUAGGUUACAGCUUUUGGUGCUGCACAACGGCAAACGCAGUCAUUGUAAGGUCAACAUGACACGUACUCGUUCUGCACUGUGCACAGUAUGUGUCCAUGAUAUUUCGUCUUAUUUCUCCCCCGAUUAUUUUUUUUUUAGCGCGAUGCGGCUUCUUCCCAAAAAAAAAAAAAAAAAAAUGCAAAUGUUGUCACUUGAAGGACACUGUACAUGCUGCUAACUACCCUCUUCCAGACCUAUCACCAUUUUCAUUAAUAAACUUGUGGCUGGCAUUGCGGAGACUUGCGUGCAAACUUUGAAUAAAUGCGGCCCCCUCCUGUUA